ACGGGAGGCAGCAGUGGGGAAUAUUGCACAAUGGGCGAAAGCCUGAUGCAGCGACGCCGCGUGAACGAAGAAGUAUUUCGGUAUGUAAAGUUCUAUCAGCAGGGAAGAAGAAUGACGGUACCUGACUAAGAAGCACCGGCUAAAUACGUGCCAGCAGCCGCGGUAAUACGUAUGGUGCAAGCGUUAUCCGGAUUUACUGGGUGUAAAGGGAGCGCAGGCGGUAUGGCAAGUCUGAUGUGAAAGCCCGGGGCUCAACCCCGGUACUGCAUUGGAAACUACCAGACUAGAGUGUCGGAGAGGUAAGUGGAAUUCCUAGUGUAGCGGUGAAAUGCGUAGAUAUUAGGAGGAACACCAGUGGCGAAGGCGGCUUACUGGACGAUAACUGACGCUGAGGCUCGAAAGCGUGGGGAGCAAACAGGAUUAGAUACCCUGGUA
rnacentral:rRNA from 2 species